rnacentral:rRNA from 1 species
GACGAACGCUGGCGGCGGGCUUAACACAUGCAAGUCGAACGGAAAGGCCCUGCUUGUUUGGGGUGCUCGAGGGGCGAACGGGUGAGUAACACGUGAGUAACCUGCUCUUGACUUUGGGAUAACUUCAGGUAACUGGGGCUAAUACCGGAUAGCAUCUCCUGCUGCAGGGUGGGGGUUGGAAAGUUGCGGCGGUUGGGGAUGGACUCGCGGAUUAUCAGCUUGUUGGUGGGGUAGUGGCUUACCAAGGCUUUGACGGGUCGCCGGCAUGAGAGGGUGACCGGCCACAUGGGGACUGAGAUACGGCCCAGACUGCAAUGGGAGGCAGCGGUGGGGAAUAUUGCCCAAUGGGAGGAAGCCUGAUGCGGCAACGCCGCGGGCGGGAUGACGGCCUUCGGGUUGUAAAAAGCUUUCGCCUGUGACGACGCGUGAGUGACGGUAAUGGGUAAAGAAGCACCGGCUAACUACGUG